CUUGUUCUCGCCGCUUCGUUUGAUCUCCAAUCCUUAUGGAACCUUCUUAACACUUGUUUAGCACUUCGUUAACAUCCUAAGGUGCAUUAUAACUUUUCCUCAAGACAUUAUUAAGUCAACAUUAGUUUGAUACUUUGCAAAACCCUUCCAAAACACGACUUAUACCUUAUAUUCCUCAUCAAACUUUCUUCUCUUGCCUCAAAUGUCUUUGGAAUCUUAAUUAGAACUGUUAAGUAGCCUUUCUUACUUGUAAAGACAUCAUAUACUUCUCACCCUGCACUAGUCUAUUUACUGUUCAAUGACAUGAAAUUUUCCGAGGUGUAACACCUAGGAUGAACUAUUGCAGAUGCAAAGUCUUCCUCCAUAUCUGACUCAUCACUAAAAAAGUUCUCGAUUGGAAGUGUAAAUACGCCAUGAUCACCUGGUUUACAAGGUAGCAAAUAAGGUGUGUUAGAAUACGACAAAGACUUUAAGAAGAGUAAACACUAUUUAGUAAUUUCAAAACCGUAUUCCCCUGCAACGGCGCCAAAAUGUAAUACGCUCAAAAUACAUUAGUUAAUAGCAUAAAGAUGACGCUCUCAAAUAUAGUAACCCAACUAGGUUGGGGUCGAAUCCCACAGGGAAUAUGGUGUGAAAAGCUUACUAAACGAGUAUUACAUUAAUCUUACGGUCCUGGUGUAUUCCAGAAAAAGGGUUUUAUAAGAGUUUUGAUUUGUGGACUAAUUUAGAGUGACUAGUAAUUGAGUUGUAAAUAUAUGGGUAAAAAGAACAAAGGUUGUGUCCCCGUCAGAAUAAGUGUAUGAUCAUGGUUCUCGAUCUUGAUUUACUCUUAAUGGAUCAUUGUAUGAAUGCACUUAACCUCUAUGUGAAUCUAGACUAUUUCCCAAUAAGAAAAGAUUAUUUCUUUCUAUGCUUUUCCCAGAGAUAAGAAAGUAUGCAUGAAGAACGGUUAAUUAUGCCAAGUAAAUUCUUCUUAUUCCUAAGUGAAUUUAUUAAACAAAGUUUAAAGCUUUGAGUUCUUGUUAUAUUCUUACCCAACCCUAAAUACUUUCCCAAGUUAAAUAAAGUUUAUGGCUUUAAUCAAUGUUUGCAACCAUUAAUUAUGAAUGAAGAACAAAGAAUAAAUAAACCCUAGCAAUCCAUUAUGCAUAUAUCAAUCCCAAUUCCCAAUCACAAAACACCCAUCCUAGGGUACACAACGUUAGUAAUUGAUUUAGCUACUCAUAGACAAAGAAGAAUAAUAAGAAUUUAUAGAAAUCAUGAGGCUUACAACUGAAUUGAAUUGAAGAAAUUAAUAAUCUUGUCCAAAAGCCUUGCACAAAACCUUAGUAACCAAAAUUGUGAAAUUGAGUCUCUAAACUAAAAAUUGGUAUUGAAGUGAUACUGUUCUCAAAACCCCUAUUGGCUAUUUAUAAGGCACAAAUCCAAUCUUCUCAAGACUGCAAAAUUCAAUACUUCAUCAGAAAAAGUACUUCCCGUACAUUGAAUGUACGGGCUCUGUUCUCUUUUCGCGUCUCAUUAUGUACGGGCAUGAAGUACGACCCGUACAUUAAUGUACAGAGCGUAACUUCAGCCAGUACUUCAGCUUCCAACUUCACUUCUCUCUGUUAACUUCUGCUGAUGUACGUGAAUGAGGUACGGGACGUACAUUAAGGUACGGCCCGUACUUUGUAUCUCGUACUUCACCUUCAUCAAAUCGAGCCUUUCUGGUACUUUCCAACAAGGUACGGGGAAUAGGUACGAGAUGUAUAUUGAUGUACGGCCCACUGCUUCAACCUGUCUUCAGCUUCUGAAAAACAUCAUCUUUCCUGCCUUACAGUUCCACUUUCCUGAAACACUACACAAACACAUCAAAACGAACAAAACUUGCUUAAAAACCAAGUAAAACUUAUAGUAAAUAGCAUCAAAUGUGCUAUAAUUUCACGGCACAUCAAUGGGCGCAGACCAUCGUAAGUUCUCAGCCAGAUUAGUUAUGUAUCAUCAAAGGCCUAUUUCAUUUCUAGAUUUUAAAUAAAACUUUUUUUUUGUUAAAUAAGUUAAACUUUGUUGAUCUUUAUGUUGUUGCUUUGCUGCAAGGCGACAUUUUCAUUGUUUCCUAGAUAUUGAAAGUCGUCAAAAUCAUUGUCAUCAUGCUUGAAAUAAACUAGAAAGGGUUAAAUUUGUUAGACUGUCAAUUUCUUGGACCUCUAAAAUAAUGAAGGUGAGUAAGUCAUUGUGAUAUAGUAAAGAUGGAGCCUUUAUAUCUGCCAAUAUAAAAAAAUAGGAAUUCACAGUUAUGUUGCGGUUCAGACAGUGUUCUAUUCUGUGUAUAUAUCAUGCUACUUGAUUCACUGCUACAUCUGUCACUCUGUGUGAGUUUGCCUUAUUCAUUUUUUGGCAGGGAGCACUAAUUAUUGUAAAGAACCUUUUCCUAAUAUGCAGCUCAGCAUCGUAUAUAUAAUCAUUGAAAUUAUCUCUUACAUAGCUUCUCUCCUCCAACUCUGACAUGUGAAUUGUCAAUACGGUAUCUUAUACUUGUUCUAUAUUCUCUCCAUACAUGCAAGUUUAAAGCUUCGGCACCACAAUGUUGUUGUGCAAGUUUUGAUUGGGUUAGAACGUGACUUCCACGUUCUUAUUGGUUUCAUGCAAUCAAAAACUUGAUAUUUUCAUGGUUACAAUGGAUUUGCUCUGUCUUUAGCUUAAAGAUGUCUGGUGAAAUAUGAUAGGUAGAUUGCUCCACCUGGCUUGUAUUUAUUUUUGCCUUUUUGCAGUUAGAAGUGUGUCACAGAAAAUAUUCCUGCUAAUAUAGAAGCAAUUGUUUCUGACAAGCAGCGAGAACUAAUUGAAGCGGCCUUUGAGGUUUAUGAUGAGCUUGCCGCAAAGAUUUCUGAAUUUAGCUUCCGUUUGGUAAAUGAAUGUGGAGAGAUAUCUUGUAGAAUCAGUGAGAAAUAAUAUUUGUACAUGGUGAAAGUGAUCAAAAGAUAAGUUCCUAUCCUAUCAUCCUAAAUGAUUUUUUUUUAAGACAUGGAGUUGUUGUGGAAAGGUCUUGUCAAGGAGAUCCAAUUGGAGGAAGCAUAUGAUAUGCAGAAGUAGAAAAGGCUGCAGAUGCUUUAUCUUUAAUUUGGCUAUGAGUCUCUUUUAUUUAUCUUUAAUACUCCUAAUUAUUUACAAGUUGUGCAUUUGCAUGCGUAUUCUUUUUGGUAGCUAAAUAUACAUUGAUGUAAAGAAAGGCAGCUUUUUUAAUGUCAAAUGAAAGCCUGAUUGAUAAAUCCAAUAAGAUUAUUAAGGAUUAUACUGACCGAGGAACACUUUCGAGGUAACCAUUAGACAAAUGAAACAAGGAAACAUUUUAGUAGUAACUCGGAAUUAACUGAAAUAUUGUCUAUUUGAGUUUACAGUUGAUUUUUUGUGCACCUUUUUUCCCUUUUGUGAUGGAAAUUUGGUGAUUCUAUGUUUUUUUUGGAAAAUAAUUUCUUCUUAGAUUUUGUAUGGACAUGUUAGAAGUUAUAUCUUACUUACACAAAUAUAGUUAACCAUGUCAAUUAUGAUACAUAGUAGAAACUGAAGAAGGAUAUCCUGGCAAUUAGUUUUCAUGUCUUAUAAUAUGCACAUGCAUGUUCGCUUUUGAAACAGAUGUCUUAUCUAUCUUAGCAGAUAGAGUGCAUCACUGGCCAUUAUUUAUAAUAUGUAAACAAAUAGCUUCAAAUAAAGUUCUUACCCUUUUUGGAUCAACAUAAAAUGCAGUUCUGCAGAUACAUUGCCUAUUUACAGGUAUUACAAGACGAACAUGAAUUACCAUAUGUGGGCUUACCGUUACAGGACUUGGCCUUGAUCAUGUAGCUGACAACUUUGUUAAAGAUGAAGAGAACUGAGGAAUUUCAGGUGGUGAAAGAAAAAGGGUGUCAAUAGGAGUUUACAUGAUCCACGAUCCCCCUAUAUUACUCUAAGAUGAGACAACUUCAGGACUAGACAGCAGUUUAGCACUUGGAAGUGAUUGAAUUGCUCUCAUCCACAACAAAAACAAAACUGAGAACCACAAUUUUGUCAAUCCAUCUGCUUAGCUAUAGAAUUCUUCAAUAUAUUUCUAAAUUCGAGAAUAAAAAUUUAGGGAAUUCUUUGUGAUAGCAAUAUGUAUGAACUCUAAAAUUACCAAAAUGUAAACUUACAAAUGUUUGAGAUAUCUUAUGUGAUUGA